GUUGAGUUUCAUUUGUAGAAACUGUAGUGAGGACUUUCACCACUUUGGAGAGUAUUUAGCAAUAGUUUAGGAGCUAGCAGGGCAUUGGUAGUGGUUGGAGUCAUUUGGAAAGGACAAAUCUCCAAUUAACUCUGCCUGACAAUUUGUUGUAGAACUACAACAAGGGCAAACACGU